GGGAAUGUGGCUUAGUGGUAGAGUGCUUGCCUAGCAGGCAUGAAGCUCUGGGUUCGAUUCCUCAGUACCA
rfam:Dipodomys ordii contig_69028, whole genome shotgun sequence.